rnacentral:tRNA from 1 species
ACCUGGCUAGCUCAGUCAGUGGAGCAUGCGACUCUUGAUCUCCAGAUUGUGAGUUUGAGUCCCACGCUGGGUG